rnacentral:rRNA from 1 species
AACCGCGGUUAUACGAGAGGCUCAAAUUGAUGCACCACGGCGUAAAGUGUGAUUAAAGAUAAUCAAAACUAGAGCCAAACACCCCCUAUGCUGUCAUACGCCAUGGGGGUCACGAAGCCCAACAACGAAAGUGGUUCUAUUAACCUUGAACUCACGACAGCUAAGAUA